AGUGAACGCUGGCGGUAGGCCUAACACAUGCAAGUCGAACGGCAGCACAGUAAGAGCUUGCUCUUACGGGUGGCGAGUGGCGGACGGGUGAGGAAUACAUCGGAAUCUACUUUUUCGUGGGGGAUAACGUAGGGAAACUUACGCUAAUACCGCAUACGACCUACGGGUUAAAGCAGGGGAUCUUCGGACCUUGCGCGAUUGAAUGAGCCGAUGUCGGAUUAGCUAGUUGGCGGGGUAAAGGCCCACCAAGGCGACGAUCCGUAGCUGGUCUGAGAGGAUGAUCAGCCACACUGGAACUGAGACACGGUCCAGACUCCUACGGGAGGCAGCAGUGGGGAAUAUUGGACAAUGGGCGCAAGCCUGAUCCAGCCAUACCGCGUGGGUGAAGAAGGCCUUCGGGUUGUAAAGCCCUUUUGUUGGGAAAGAAAAGCAGCAGGUUAAUACCCCGAUGUUCUGACGGUACCAAAAGAAUAAGCACCGGCUAACUUCGUG
rnacentral:rRNA from 1 species